GUUAAUGCCUACAAUAAGUGUUCUUGAAAUACAGUCACGCGUUGCUUAACCAUGGGGAUAUAUUCUGAUAAAUUCAUCAUUAGGCGAUUUCAUCACUGGGCGAACAUCACAGCUCGUACUCACACAAACCUAGAUGUCAUAGCCUACUACACACCUAGGCUAUAUGAUAUAGGCUAUUGCUAGCAACAAACCUGUACAGCAUGUUACUGUCUUGAAUACUUAGGCAGCAGAGCACAAUGUUAUAGAAACAGAUGAUCAGUGGCCCACGGAUUCCAGGUGAGGAUCUGGGACCCAGACAUCCAGAUAUUGAAAACACAGGGAUGGAGUCUGUAUGGAAAAAAUUAAAAUAUAGCAAAAUGUGAAAUACGGAAGAGAAAUCUUUCAAUUUCCCAAUGGAAGUGAGAAAAGAGCAAAGAAAAGUAUUGGUCUUCCAAAACAAAUAGAGGACGGAGCUGCUGCUGUUGCAUGGUGUCUAGAAACUCAGACAACUUCAUCAUUCCAUAUUUGCAUCCAAGAGAGAGAAAGAAAAACUACAAUCAUUUUCCAUUUACCCAUCAACCCAUCAACCUCCAA
rnacentral:lncRNA from 1 species